AGAGGCUCUCCUCCUCCCCUUGCUUGCUCUGGGCUAGGAGAAAGGAGACAUGGGGAGCGAGCAAGACCACAGGCACAGUCUCAUUUCAAAGAGGAAGCAUCCUUUAUAAUUCCUAUUUGAAAAACAGACCAGUUAUAAAGUAUUGGAACACCUACUCAGACUAUCUAAGGAUAUUUCCUUCUGAUUUGAGCAGAGAUAUGUUGAUGAAGGAUAUGAAACCAACACUAUCCUUUGGACCCCCAAGGGUCCCCAUUUCCAAAUCAGAAGUGCAUAAAGGAUAUCUCCACAUUCUCUUGUCUUUUGCAGAAUUCUUCCUUCUUAGACCAUGGAAAUAAUCCUACAGAUGGAUCAUGAUCCAGCCAGAAAGCAGCAUAUCUUCUACACAAACCUAAUUCUGGACAUAACACAAUGAGACGUUCUCCAGUGCAAGCCCCAUGGAGUUUGGCAAGAGUGCAGUGGGGCUCUUGCAAACCUUCCUUUUCUUUUAAUAAGGCUUGUGCAAGAUAUCUUCACCAUGGAUUAUGCCCUUAAUGAAUAAUUUCUCAAUAAGUCUGUAUUGUGCUGCUGGGCACCUUAUGUAACAUACUGAACUAUAUCUCGGAACAAAAGUGUUCUUCCCUUCUUUUCAGGAUGUGGGUGGGUCGGAGGAAAAAUUGGGCAUAAUGAAAAAGCCCUGUACUGCAUUCUGCAACUGUCUCAAGAUGGGGUGCAGGGCGUGUUAUGCAGACGUAGUGGUGUUGUAUUCCAUCCAAUAACUUUUAUGGUUUGUUGUUUAGAAGUUUGUCCUAGUGGGGAUCCUGUGUAGAGAGUGUGGGGGGUGGAGUCAGAAAGGAAAAGAGAGGGAAAGAAGGAUAAAAUGGAGUCGUUUCUGAAUAAACUCUUAGUUAAAUCUGUAUAAGAUUGUUUUGUGUUUGAGGGAAGCAGCUAUAAAAUAAGAGGCCUUUCCCAAGUGCAAGACAGAUGUCAUCACUUCACAGUGAUGGCCACACCGAGACAAAGAAACAGAAAUGGCUGUUCCCGACCCCUUUUUUCCUGAACCUAUAAACUCUAUAGCAGUUACUGUCUUGGACCUGUCCAAGCACUAAGCAAAACAGGAGAGGAAUCUUAAGACUGGAGGGAGAUGAUCUUCUGCCUCCCGAAGAUGAGGGUGGGUCAUGCCUUCCAAACACUAGCUUGCACCACCCAAUUUGACUUCUAUACUGACUCUUUACCUAAAAUCUCCAACUUUGCUAAUAUAAAAAUGACCAAAUUUCUCUUUCCUUCUGCUCUCCGCUUUGCAAGAAACCUGUGCACAUUCUGAACACAAACAAGUCCCUUGCAAGAUAGAGCAGAAGGAAAAAACAUAUCUGAGUAACCACUAAAUUUUGUAUUUUCAAAAAUCCGAGAGCAGUCCAUUUCUGUUUCUUUGUUCCAGUGGCCCUUGGUGCAAAGUGAUGACAUCUGUCUUGCACCUAGCAGGUAA